rnacentral:lncRNA from 1 species
UUCCAUGCGGCUCCAUCACUCCCUGGCAGAUCACAAUAAUGGCCACGACUCUGCUCCACUUCCUGUGAUGGAUACCGCACAGCUCCUCCACUCUCUGGCAAGUCACGACAACGGACGCCGCUCCACUCCCUGCAACAGACUCCACAUGGCAGGUCACGGUGAUGGCCAUGAUUCCACUCCACUACUCUUCAUAACAAGCUCAUUUUGGCCCCGAACGGCCCAUGGCC